rnacentral:rRNA from 1 species
UACGGGGGGGGCAAGCGUUGUUCGGAAUUACUGGGCGUAAAGCGCGUGUAGGCUGCUCAGAAAGUCGGAUGUGAAAGCCCCUGGGCUUAACCUAGGAAGUGCAUUCGAAACUUCUGAGCUUGAGUUCUGGAGAGGAAGGCGGAAUUCUCGGUGUAGAGGUGAAAUUCGUAGAUAUCGAGAGGAACACCGGUGGCGAAGGCGGCCUUCUGGACAGUGACUGACGCUGAGACGCGAAAGCGUGGGGAGCAAACAGG